AGAUUAAGCCAUGCAUGCGUAAGUACAUACUUUUUAUGGUGCAAACCGCGAAUGGCUCAUUACAUCAGUUGUGGUUCAUUAGAUCAUAUGUUUAAAUGGAUAACUGUGGCAAAUCUAGAGCUAAUACAUGUUUACAAACUCUGACUUUCGGGAAAGAGUGCUUUUGUUAGAUCAAAACCAAUGAUUUCCUUCACGGAAAUCUACUUAAUGCUGAGUCUGAAUAAAUUUGCAGAUUGCACGGUCUUCGUACCGGCGACGUAUCUUUCAAGUGUCUGCCCUAUCAACUGGCGAUGGUAGUUUAUGUGCCUACCAUGGUUGUAACGGGUAACGGGGAAUCAGGGUUCGAUUCCGGAGAGAGAGCAUGAGAAACGGCUAUCACUUCCAAGGAAGGCAGCAGGCGCGCAAAUUACCCAAUCCUAGAUCGGGGAGGUAGUGACGAAAAAUAACAAUGCCGCAGUCGAAUAGACUCGGCAAUUGGAAUGAGUACAAUCUAAAUCCUUUAACGAGGAACAAUUGGAGGGCAAGUUCUGGUGCCAGCAGCCGCGGUAAUUCCAGCUCGAAUAGCGUAUAUUAAAGUUGUUGCAGUUAAAAAGCUCGUAGUUGGAUAUCAGGAGAUGAUUCACGGACUUCUUGAUGGAGCAACCGUGUUUUCGCUUCUUUUUGUACCGUUUCAUCGUUGAUGCACUUUAUUGUGUGUCUCGUUUGAACGGCCUUUUUACUUUGAGAAAAUUAGCGUGCUUAACGCAGGCGUUGAAGCUUGUAUACUGUUGCAUGGAAUAAUGAAAUAGGACCUCGGUUCUGUUUUGUUGGUUUCCGGAAGCUGAGGUAAUGAUUAAUAGGGACAGACGGGGGCAUUCGUAUUGUGGUGUUAGAGGUGAAAUUCUUGGAUCACCGCCAGACGAACAACUGCGAAAGCAUUUGCCAAGAAUGUUUUCAUUAAUCAAGAACGAAAGUUAGAGGUUCGAAGACGAUUAGAUACCGUCCUAGUUCUAACUAUAAACUAUGCCAACUGGGGAUCCGUCGAUUGCCAUUUGUAGGCUCGGCGGGCACCUACGGGAAACCAAAGUGAACAGGUUCCGGGGGGAGUAUGGUUGCAAAAUCGAAACUUAAAGGAAUUGACGGAGGGGCACACCAGAAGUGGAGCCUGCGGCUCAAUUUGACUCAACGCACGAAAACUUACCCGGCCCGAACACCGUGAGGAUUGACAGAUUGACAGCUCUUUCUUGAUUCGGUGGGUGGUGGUGCAUGGCCGUUCGUAGUUGGUGGAGCGAUUUGUCUGGUUUAUUCCGAUAACGAACGAGACUCUAGCCUAUUAAUUAGGGUGCCGAUUCAAUUAGUCGGCAUUGUUAAACUUCUUAGAGGGACAGGUGCUUCUUAAGCACACGAAGAGGAGCAAUAACAGGUCUGUGAUGCCCUUAGAUGUUCGGGGCUGCACGCGCGCUACAAUGGAGGGCUCAGAAAGCGUAACGAUUUCGACAGAAAUCGGCAAUCAUAAAUAGCCUUCUUGAUUGGGAUCGGAGAUUGUAAUUAUUCUUCGUCAACGAGGAAUUCCUAGUAAACGCGAAUCAUUAUUUCGUGUUGAUUAAGUCCCUGCCCUUUGUACACACCGCCCGUCGCUACUACCGAUUGAAUGGCUUAGUGAGGUCUACGGAUAGGCUACAAGGUAGCCAUCAGCUCUGUUGUAUUACCUAAAAGUUGGCCGAACUUUACCAUUUAGAGGAAGUAAAAGUCGUAACAAGGUUUCCGUAGGUGAACCUGCAGAAGGAUCA
rnacentral:rRNA from 1 species